CCUACGGGUGGCAGCAGUGAGGAAUAUUGGUCAAUGGGCGUAAGCCUGAACCAGCCAAGCCGCGUGAGGGAUGAAGGUUCUAUGGAUCUUAAACCUCUUUUAUAAGGGAAUAAAGUGCGGGUCGUGUCCCGUUUUGUAUGUACCUUAUGAAUAAGGGUCGGCUAACUCCGUGCCAGCAGCCGCGGGAAUACGGAGGGUCCGAGCGUUAUCCGGAUUUAUUGGGGUUAAAGGGUGCGUAGGCGGCAUUGUAAGUCAGCGGUGAAAGUCUGUGGCUCAACCAUAGAACUGCCGUUGAAACUGGGAGGCUUGAGUAUGUGUGAGGCAGGCGGAAUGCGUGGUGUAGCGGUGAAAUGCGUAGAUAUCACGCAGAACAGC
rnacentral:rRNA from 1 species